UAGACGAUAUUUGCAAGAUUCAUUUCUAGAGUGAAACAAUUUUUUGAAGGGAUUGGUCGCGGUAUCCACCAGAGAGCGGGAGUGUGUUUCUUCCAGAAAAGCUGACAAUGAGUUUUUGUUUUUUGGGCAACCUGCUCGCUGCUACCUGAUGACCACUCCAAUCUUCAGUCGGUGGAUUGUUGAAGGAGGGGACACGUUCUGAGUGCG
rnacentral:snoRNA from 1 species